CGGCUGCAGCUCUGAAGACACGAGAGAGGGUACUUGGUUUGGGUUUGAAAAGGGAAGAGCGGUCUUGUAUGCAGUAGUCUGGCCGGACCGACACUGAGAGGCCCAGGUGUUUGGAAAGCAGGAAAGAGGAGGCCAGGAUUGUUCUCUGGGGCCGGACUGAGAAAUGCCUGAAGGAGACGACGGAGGAGAUCCGGCAGAUGGGCACUGAGUGCCAUUACUUCAUCUGUGAUGUGGGCAACCGGGAGGAGGUGUACCAGACGGCCAAGGCCGUCCGGGAGAAGGUCUGUAGCCUGGGAGGGUCUAUUCCUAGCACAGCUGACCACAGGCUAAUUCCGGGCAAAGAGAACAUUCUCAUGUGGCCUGGAAGAGAGCUCUGCUUAUGGCAGAAUGGCUUUGCCCGGGGCACCUUUGGGGACUCUCCCAUGAAGCUGGCCCCAGUUACAUAGGCAGGGAUUAGGGUUGAUUACGUAACAGGCGUAAUCAUCUGUUGUUCCCUUGGAAAUGUAGACCGUGUGGGUUUCUCUCCAGGACUGUGGCGGGGCAAAUGUCCCAUUGGCCUCUGGGAAAAUCCUUCUGACUCCAGUCAUCUGUUUGGGCUAAAUAUAUCAGUGACCUCCAAGAGAGGGAAACCCACCCUGACUGUCUGGCACGUGGUAAUGUUAACUGUUUUUAUGUCGCAGUAAACUCAUUUAUUAUAAAUAUGCUGUGUGCCAGGUACGGUGUGUGCCAUAAAUUAUUUCUCCUCCUCAGAACAGUCCUGGUGCGGCAUUAGCCCCAUCUCACAAAUCAAGACUGGCGCUCAGAGACGCAGUUCUCUUCCCCAGGCCCUGUGGCUGCUGGUGGUACGGCCAGGUGGCUGCUGGGCCUCUAUGUAUGCAGGAUAACUGGAACUAGGCUGGCAGAAAGUGGCCUGCGGGAAGGAAUAUCUAAGAAAAACUUGUAAAUAACACAUCAAUUGAUUGAUCAUAAAUGGACUCAGAAAUUACUCGUUCACUUAGGAGUAAGCCAUAUCCCUUUUAAAAAGUAUAUUGGACCG
rnacentral:lncRNA from 1 species